rnacentral:lncRNA from 1 species
GAGUCUUCAUCCAACAAGAAUUCAGAGUGUCUACUAUAAUUCCAGCCAGGAGAAAGCUUUCCAGAGAUGAGGAAAAAACAUUUUCAGAAAAUCUGAAGAAGACUGCCAAAAAAGAUAACAUCAAACAUAAAGAGAAUUCAGCAGACAUCUGAUGAUUUGAAUUGCUGACAGUGGGAAUGGAGAAAACACAUACAUAGAGGACUUGCGUGUCUGA